GCUGGGCUUGGUGGCGCAUGCCUGUAAUCCCAACAACUUGGGAGGCCAAGGCAGGAGGACCACAAGUUGGAGGUCAGCCUGCUUAACUUGGUGAGACCCUGUCUCAA
rnacentral:sRNA from 1 species